GUGACGGAGCACAGCAACAGUAACCAGUUUUUCAGCUCAGUUCAGUUCGUGUUUGUCAUUACAGAUAGAAAGACGAGCUCUGAAUCAGUCGCACUACGUCACAUCUCCUGCUGUGCAUGUGUGAGGAUUGAGAACUACAUGAUGGGAAAUAACAUGUCAGGACAUGGGCAAGAAAUGCCAAACCCAGUGUCAGAGACAGCAGCAGGUGCAGUACUGAGCUUUACGUGCACAGGAACUGAUCUGAACUCGGAUCAUCCUGCUUACUUCAACAUCUUAACUAAUAAAAGACUGCAGGCCCUGAUCACAGAAUUUCAACACCCUGACUGUAACCAGUGGAGUAUCCAAAGAUUAGAAGAAUUUUAGCACCCAGCAGAGCAACUUGUUAACAAAACAAGCUUUUCUUAUCUUUCAAUCUUGUCUUUCAAUCUGUUGUGUUUACAUGACCUCAGUAUUCUAAAGAUGAGCAACAUGAUUAUUUCAAGACAAGAAGCUCAACAAAGCACACAGUCAUGAAGGAAUCAUGAAUUGCACUUGCUACAUCAUUAUUUAUUCUGCAUCAUUAUUUAUCCUCUUUUAUGUUUCUGUUUACAUUGGGAACAUCCCAGUCCCUCCAGGAUUUUGCGAUCAUAGAAGUGAACGCAAAAUCAAGCAAACCACGCAACAUUCGGAGGAGCUUGCAAUUUUUCAAAAUUUCCGCCGAUUUGGGCUAGGACGCAUCAUGUGACAUCAUCACAACACACAUUCAGACAAAGGCCUCUUUGAUUUACAUGCAUCGAACAUGAAUACAGCUAAAAUGUCUCGUUUACCAACAAACAUCGCUGUGAAAGACCGUACAAAACAAUUUUGUGCAAUCACAAGUUUACCAAUGCAAGUAGUUUUCUGCAAACAAAAAAAAACACAAAAAACUCGCAGCAAAAUUAAGCAUUUUUGGCUGUAACGCAACACAAAAAAACUUCACAUAAAAAUCCUGUAUGGACUGAACAUACACCAUGAAUGAAGAUCUCAGUCUAAGAUUUUUUAUAGUGAAAAUUUGUGAGUUUUUUUUUUGUUGUUGUUAUUAUUAUUUCAAUUUUUUUCAGUGACAUGCCGUAUUUUCACUUUGAUUGACAUUUUCCUACAUUACCCACAAUACUGUCUCACUCCCUGGUGAUAGUGGUGCAGUGAGAUUUAGCCCUCAUGUCAUCUCUAGCUGAAGAGAGCGAUGCAGCAGCUCUUUCGUCCUUUUGUCUGUCUAGCUGUCUUUCUUGUGUACAAGAGAGUGUGUGUGUUUCAGGGUGGAGGUUUCCUUUAAACGAUGGCCAGAGAGCCAUUUAUGAAUCCUUGAGCAAAAAAACUUAGCUGCUCUGAACUGUUCAGGUAUGUGAAUUGUAUCUCAACCUGUCAAAUAAAUAAAUCUGUUGUUAAGAGAGAGAGAUUAGUAGAUCAGUCAUAAAAUGAAAACCGUUUUACAUACUUGGUGUUCUUUUGAUGAACGUGCCUUCAAAUACAGCAGAAAGGUCUGAUCUUUUCUCUUUUAUAAUUAUAUUUUUAUUUAUUUAUUUUUUAUACAUGUCUAUGACUGUAAAUGUAAGCAUUACUGAUAACUCUGCACUUUCCUCAUGAUGUGAAACAUUUUCUGUUUUGCAUAAUUAUUGGGAGAAAUGUACUUAAUGUGAAUUACAUUGUAAUUGUUUUAGAAUAAUUUCCUUUCAGACAAUAUUUUUGAAAUCUGUCAAUAAAUCCUUUCAGCAUCUUGGA